AACGAACGCUGGCGGCAUGCCUAACACAUGCAAGUCGAACGAGACCUUCGGGUCUAGUGGCGCACGGGUGCGUAACGCGUGGGAACCUGCCCUUAGGUUCGGAAUAACUCCCCGAAAGGGGUGCUAAUACCGGAUAAUGUCUUCGGACCAAAGAUUUAUCGCCUUUGGAUGGGCCCGCGUUGGAUUAGCUAGUUGGUAGGGUAAAAGCCUACCAAGGCGACGAUCCAUAGCUGGUCUGAGAGGAUGAUCAGCCACACUGGGACUGAGACACGGCCCAGACUCCUACGGGAGGCAGCAGGGGGGAAGAUGGGACAAUGGGCGAAAGCCGGAUCCAGCAAUGCCGCGUGAGUGAUGAAGGCGUUAGGGUUGUAAAGCUCUUUUACCCGGGAUGAUAAUGACAGUACCGGGAGAAUAAGCUCGGGCUAACUCCGU
rnacentral:rRNA from 1 species